rnacentral:rRNA from 1 species
CAGAGGGUGCGAGCGUUAAUCGGAAUUACUGGGCGUAAAGCGCGCGUAGGCGGCUAUGCAAGUCGAGUGUGAAAUCCCCGGGCUCAACCUGGGAACUGCAUUCGAGACUGCGUUGCUUGAGUAUGGGAGAGGGAGGCGGAAUUUCAGGUGUAGCGGUGAAAUGCGUAGAUAUCUGAAGGAACAUCAGUGGCGAAAGCGGCCUCCUGGACCAAUACUGACGCUCAAGUGCGAAAGCGUGGGGAGCAAACAGGAUUAGAUACCCUGGUAGUCCACGCCAUAAACGAUGAGAACUAGAUGUCGGGAGGGUUAGCCUCUCGGUGUCGCAGCUAACGCGUUAAGUUCUCCGCCUGGGGAGUACGGCCGCAAGGUUG